CCUACGGGAGGCAGCAGUGGGGGAUAUUGCACAAUGGGGGGAACCCUGAUGCAGCGACGCCGCGUGGGUGAAGACGCGCCUCGGCGCGUAAAGCCCUGUCAGCAGGGAAGAAAAUGACGGUACCUGAAGACGAAGCCCCGGCUAACUACGUGCCAGCAGCCGCGGUAAUACGUAGGGGGUAAGCGUUAUCCGGAUUUACUGGGUGUAAAGGGGGCGCAGACGGCGAUGCAAGCCAGGAGGGAAAGCCCGGGGCCCAACCGCGGGAGUGCUGUUGGAACUGGGUGGCUGGAGUGCAGGAGGGGCAGGCGGAAUUCCUGGUGUAGCGGUGAAAUGCGUAGAUAUCAGGAAGAACACCGGUGGCGAAGGCGGCCUGCUGGACUGCAACUGACGUUGAGGCACGAAAGCGUGGGGAGCGAACAGGAUUAGAUACCCCUGUAGUC
rnacentral:rRNA from 1 species